GCCUGGCUGGCUCAGUUGGUAGAGCGUGCAACUCCUGAUCUCACAUCAUGAGUUUGAGCCUCAUGUUGGGCA